CGUCAAAUCAUCAUGCCCCUUAUGGCCUGGGCUACACACGUACUACAAUGGCUGUUAACAAAAGGACGCAAUGGAGCGAUCCGGAGCCAAUCCUUAAAAACAGCCCCAGUUCAGAUUGCAGGCUGAAAUUCGCCUGUAUGAAGUCGGAAUUGCUAGUAAUCGCGGAUCAGCAUGCCGCGGUGAAUACGUUCCCGGGUCUU
rnacentral:rRNA from 1 species